AAAGAAAAUAGAAAGCCUUUUGGAUUGAGGGUUCGAAGGUGGAUUCAAAAACGUUUGGAGGAUUUAAUCUUCAUGAGCGUUUAAACUUUAUCUUUCCUUGUUUUUUUGGUUAGAGACGAGGAAUUUUUUUGGUGGAAUAUUAAUUUUUAGAUACAUGCUCAAGAUUGGGGAUUUGAAUCUUUCUCAAACUUUUUAAUUUCUUUUACAAGAUAAAUUUUUAGAUCUUCAAGGCAAGGAGAGGCUAGCAUGAAAGGUGAGUUCUCAUUGAAAUCUUACUACAAAGAGCUGGUUUCCUACUACAGAAUAACUUCCUUCACAAAAUUAUUUGGAAAUUAAGCAUUCAUAGUUUGUUGGUUUCCUGGUUGUGGAGGCAGCAUGGGGAGGAAAUUUAGCAACUAAUCAACUCCGGAAAAGGGGGGACUUUAGUUAAUAGAUGCUAUUUUUGUGAGGAAGACAAGGAAUCAGUUCAUCAUAUUUUUUGCUUUUUUGAUGGACUAAAUUUUUUAGGGAUCUGGCUUUGAAUAUGGUGGAUCUGCCCAGGGUGAUUUCAAAUUUAAUUACUCCCAAGAGUUUUGAGUCUUGAGAAAGGGUGAAGACUUGUAAAGAUAGGAAGAAAGCUCUCACUAAUCCCUCCCACCGCUUCUUAGAUUGUGUGGAGGGAGAGAAACAGGAAGGCAUUUUAAGCUGUCGAAUUUCUUCUUGCCAAAAUUACAGAAAGGAGGUCUAGGUAAUUACUUUUUUGGUUUAUAGGGACAUUGUUGUAGAACAGAGACUGUUUAUCUUGUUGAUUUUUUGCCUUGUAAAUGAGUUGGUGUACUUGUUACUAGGUAGGGGGGCUCUCUUCACUGUUCUUUUACCAUUUUCUCAUGGAAGGAACAAUAUUCAUACAUUACCAAAAAUGAAUCCAGAAGUGGUUAACAAGCACACCACCCCCCCCCCCCCAAUUUUUUAUUUUUAUUUUUAAAACACACAUACAUACACACUGAGUUUGGUCCCUUCAAUAGACCCAUCCCUAAUGUAUGCCCUUACAAAGCAACAGCAGAAGCAGCAAAACAUUUUGUUCAGGUGAGGUUGAAUCCUAUUGUUCAAAUUUUGUUCAAUACCUUACAUAUUCCCUGUCGCAAUUUGGUCAUCUCAUAUAUCUUCAGUUCUUGAGGUGAGGUUGGCUAUGUGAAUCCUCAAUCCUCUUGCUGAAAAUUUUUUCAAUGCCUCAAAUAUUCACAUAUUCCCUGUCGAAAAUAUGGUUGUCUGCUAUAUCUUAAGGGCUCUUUUGUACUACUUCUAUGGUAUUUGUGAUUAGGGGACAUAGAAACAAAAUUUGUUGUAGUCUAGUGUAUAUCUUUAAAAAAUAGGAGUUCUGUAUAUUCUUUUGCUGUAGAAAUCAUCAUAUCCUCCUCCAUUCCCCCCCAGCCCAAAAAAAAAAAAGGAAUUCCUACAGACAACUAGAAUUUCCUGUAAACUUGUAUCACCUACAUAAUACAGGUAUGUGUCAACAGGGACUUGAGAAACUGCUGCAACCCCAUGUUAAAAUCUGCCAUUAUACCUUGGCAAAGUUCAACAGGAGUCAUGAUUGAACUGAAUUGGGUUGUUCAAUGGCUUGCCCAUCUUUAAACAGUCAAUAGGUGGGGCAGCAUUAGUUUUCACCUCUGUGUAUGCCUGCCAACAGAAAGGCCCAUUUGUAUCAUUCACUUGUGCUGGAUUCAGCUCUAUGGUGUUCAGGGAUAAAUCCAUGCAUGGUGAGCUGUCGCUGCAUGCAAAGUAUGAGGGAUGCAUUAUGUAUGUCCCUCUUAUGUUCUCAAACGUUAUGCCUGAUAUAGCCACAGCUGAUGUUUUGUUCUGGCAUUCUUCCUUGUCACAAUAAAAUUGAUCAAUAACCAUUGGAGUUUCAACUUCAGAUACUUGAAUGUUUGAAAACAUUACUCCUUGCACUGUGCCCAUGCCUCCCUGUCAGAAAAAUGAGAUUAUAAGAUAUUUAAGAGGGGAAAUUAGUUACCUGGCACUGUCUGAAUAAAUUAUGGAAAUUGAAAUUAGACUCGCCAUUGUUGGUUGAUACUCAGAUUAGUUCAAAUAAUCAUGUUUACAAGUGAAUGUUCUUCAAAAGAGGUAUAUAAGAUUGAUAAGAUGAUGACCUGCCAUGUCUUUAUUCUAACACCUGUCAAUGUAUUUCGCAUGGUGGUGUCUCGGACAGUGAUGUUUGAAACACAUGCUUUGGUUUCAUCUUUCCCUAGCCCUCCAAUGCUGAUUCCAUGCCCAGGUCCACAAUUCACAUUGUGUAUGUUUACGUUUGAGCAUCCGGUUUGUAUCGAUACACAGUCAUCUCCUGUGGAAAUCAGUAGAAAUUCAUGUUACUUUCUGGAACUACAAUUUAGUGCCUUUGAUUUUGUCACACCGAUUGCUUGGUUUCAUGGUAUGCAUUUCAACAUGCUAUUGCUUGGACUUUGAUUAAGCAAUUGUUAUAUGAAUGUUCACUUGGAAUUUUUUAUGUUCAUUCUUUUCUAAGCUCUUGUGAUUUCAAGCUACCCUUUCUCAGAUUUUCAGAAUUACCACAGGCGAGGGCAGUGUUGUAGAUCACCACAUCUUGGGAGUUCUGUAGGUGGAUUCCAUCUGUAUUUGGACUGAUGCCAGGAGAUGAGACGCUCAGUUCAAAAACCUUGACAGCUUUGCAGUCAUCGAACUUGAGGCUUUAGAAGUGGAUGCCAGGAGGGUAAGGAGGUGCGUUGUGCCACCAGGCAGAGCCUUGUCCAUCAAUUGUACCUUUUCCUGCGACUAUAAUGCCUUGGAGAUUUGUGAAUUCAAUCCACUGUAAGAGGCCUGAUCCCCAAGAUUCAAAGCUUGUGGGUGCAAUGAUUUUCCCAUCCAACUGCAAGGGACCUACUUAAUCAACCUUAAAGCUCAAAAGUAUAUUUAGAAAACAAAAUUCUAGCCAACAUUGGUCCUGUGUUAUGCCCGUAAGGAUAAUCAUGGGGAAAUGAAACCUGGAAAACGGUGAUAUGCAAUUCACCUGAAACACAAUGUUUGAUGUGCAAUUAGAGCCUGAAAAGGAAAUGGGCUGGACAAGGAAGGUGGACCCUGAAGGAAUGGUCAUUGUCGAUCCCUCUUGUUCACAAGCGUCUCUCCAUGCUGCUCCGAAUGCCUGCCUUGCAGUGUGACAGAUGCUUUCAGUUUUGACAAGCUAACAGUUGCAGUAGUAAUGGUUUUGAAAUAUUUGGUGUUAGUUUGUCGCUCGAGUCUUCAACAAUUUUAUUUUUUUUUUUUGGGUCUUUUUAUAGAAAAAGAGGAUAUUUCUUUAAAUAGGGAAGAAUGUAUAAAGAAGAGAAUACUUGAAGUAAAUUUGUGAAUUUUGGUGUUACUUUGUAGCUGGGGUCAGCCUUGACUAAUGCCCUGCAAAUGAAAAUUAGUUGGAUCC